GGGCCGGUAGUUCAGUGGUAGAAUACCCGACUUGCACUCGGGCGGUCGUGGGUUCAAAUCCCACCCGGUCCA
rnacentral:tRNA from 1 species